UAAUAAUACCUAUCUCAUAGGGCUAUUUUAAGUGUUAUAUGUGGAAAUGUGUAUUAAGCACUUAGCAUACGUCUGGCACUUAGUAAGUCAUUAAAAAUGGUAGUUACUGUUAUAGUCAUCGCUAUUUACCAUUACUAUUAUCAUUAUCUGAAAACGUGCAGCUGAACUAAAUGAUCUCUACUUGAAGAGCUUCUCUGGCUCCAAAGCCUGAUUCUUUAAGUCACUUUCUCCUUUUUUCUUUCUUUCUUUUUUGUUUUUUAGCGGGCUGGACAGCAAGAAAAGGGAGAGAAAUUUGGCAAAGCACACAUCGUCAGCCUUUACGUCAGAAACACUUAUGAUACAAUUAGGAAAUCCUUCAUGAACCAAAAAGAAAGGGCAAGGAGUAUGCAAACCACCUUCUCAAGGACAAUGGCUCUUACACUGUGGAAACCCCACUGGACCAAAGGCAGCUCAGAGAAGCCAGGAGCUCAGGACAAUUUUUCCAUGGAGGGCCAAUCUUUUUAAUGAAGUUUUAAAAGACACACACACACACACACACACACACACCAGUUCAGAACCUCCAAGCCCAGAGUCACCAAGAGUGAUGGAGAUGAAUGCUUCCCUAGGGGAAAAAGCAGCUGUAAAUAUAGAAGAGGGUGGAAAAAGAAUCCUGCUUUGAGUUCCAGAGGAACCAUUGUACUAUUGUAAAAGCCCUUCUCAAAAGAAGCAACACACCCUCUUCCAAACAGAAAACACACAACUUCAUCC